GUAGACAUAGUUUAAUCAAGACAUUAGAUUGUGAUUCUAAAAAUAGGAGUUAAACCCUCCUUGUCCACC
rnacentral:tRNA from 1 species